rnacentral:rRNA from 1 species
UACAGAGGGUGCGAGCGUUAAUCGGAAUUACUGGGCGUAAAGCGUGCGUAGACGGUAGCGUAAGUCAGGUGUGAAAGCCCCGGGCUCAACCUGGGAAUUGCAUUUGAGACUGCUCUGCUCGGGUGCGGAAGAGGGAAGCGGAAUUUCCGGUGUAGCGGUGAAAUGCGUAGAUAUCGGAAGGAACACCAGUGGCGAAAGCGGCUUCCUGGUCCGACACCGACGUUCAGGCACGAAAGCGUGGGGAGCAAACAGG